rnacentral:rRNA from 1 species
UACGGAGGGGGCUAGCGUUGUUCGGAAUUACUGGGCGUAAAGCGCGCGUAGGCGGCCCUGCAAGUCGGGGGUGAAAGCCCGAGGCUCAACCUCGGAACUGCCUUCGAUACUGCGGGUCUCGAGUCCGGGAGAGGUGAGUGGAAUUCCUAGUGUAGAGGUGAAAUUCGUAGAUAUUAGGAAGAACACCAGUGGCGAAGGCGGCUCACUGGCCCGGUACUGACGCUGGGGCGCGAAAGCGUGGGGAGCAAACAGG